ACACCGGCAGCCCAAGUGGUGGCCAUUUUUAUUGGGCCUAAAGCGUUCGUAGCCGGCCUGAUAAGUCUCUGGUGAAAUCCCGCAGCUUAACUGUGGGAAUUGCUGGAGAUACUAUCAGGCUUGAGGUCGGGAGAGGUUAGAGGUACUCCCAGGGUAGGGGUGAAAUCCUGUAAUCCUGGGAGGACCACCUGUGGCGAAGGCGUCCAGCUGGAACGAACCUGACGGUGAGGGACGAAAGCCAGGGGCGCGAACCGGAUUAGAUACCCGGGUGGUCCUGGCCGUAAACGAUGUGGACUUGGUGUUGGGAUGGCUUCGAGCUGCCCCAGUGCCGAAGGGAAGCUGUUAAGUCCACCGCCUGGGAAGUACGGCCGCAAGGCUGAAACUUAAAGGAAUUGACGGGG
rnacentral:rRNA from 1 species